UUUAAGGAAUUCACACUUCCUCUUGUGGCGCCCCAUUCUCUCACCAGAGUACGAACUACGAAGACCCGACAGGCCGACACCCGCUCGUCUCCCCUCGCACGUAGGCGGCGCAACCGGACCCCCUCCCCCUCCAGAUCGGUGCUCCGCUGGGAGAUCUCCUCGUGCAGGCGCCGAAUCUCUUCGUCGUCUCUUCCAAGCACGGUUGGCAGCACAAUAGAUCUGUUUGCAAGCAUUCUUUGGUACUACUUCAAGGCUUUGAUGAUUGCUUUACAGCGCCGAUAUGGCCUCCCGCCCAAAGCUGUCUGGUAUUCAGAAGCAGGUUUUGGCGCUGUACAGGGGAUUCCUUCGAACAGCACGUCUUAAGGCCCCUGAAGAGCGCCACAGGAUCGAGUCCGUUGUCUUGGCAGAGUUCCGUGACAAGGCAAAGAGUGUUGACCGUAGGAACUUUAUACAUAUCGAGUACUUGUUGAGGAGUGGGAAGAAGCAGCUUGAGCAGCUCAAGAAUCCUGAUAUUACUGGACUUGCUACCCUUGUAGUAAAGAAAUGAGGUCUUGGUGGAGUGCACCAAGAUGAAUGAAGCACUCCAAGAUGAAUGAAGCAGCAGAUUGGAUUGAGAAGAACGCCCGGACUCCGGUGAGAUCGUUGACGGAUCUGAUCAACGGAACUGAACCGGGGAUUUACCACGGUGACCAAGCAGCUGCAUCGCAGGUACAACUUCUUGGAUGAAUUCCUUAGUACUAACUACGACCUCUUUUAUAGCACAGGUGGGCCUUAUCUAACAAACUCAGGGGAUAAGCCCAAUAACUGAUACUCCCUUCGUUUCUUUUUAGUUAUCGCUGGAUAGUUCAAUUUUGCACUAUCCAGCGACAACUAAAACGAAACGGAGGGAGUAUUUAACAAACUCAGGAAAUAAGCACCAUUAGACCUUGUCUUGUUCGGUUGAAUGGGGAUCCAUGGAUUAAAUCUCUUUUGAGUAGCAAUGGAUUUAAUCCACUUUAGGCCUUGUUCGUUUCUGUCGGAUUGGUGGGUCGGAACGAUUCCUAACCAGAUUGCUUCUCUAAUUUAUAUAAACUUUGAUUAGCUGGAACGAUUCCGGAUGCAAUCCGACGGAAACGAACAAGGCCUCAGUCUACUUUGAACCGAACAAAUCUUGACUGAUUACUAACAACUUAGAGCAAGUUUAAUAAUAUAAUCUAUAGUAGGUUUUAUGGUGUUGCCAUAUUAUAUAUAACCAACUAAAAGUUUUUUCAUAUAAUAUGUCUUUCAUAAUACAAGCUGUACAUUUAAUACUUGGUCUAUCUCUUUCUCUUACAAAGAGUCAUGAAAUCUAUGAGCAACCCACUUUCAGCAUCAUCAGACCUUGUUUGGCUUGUUCAUUGCGGUUUGCUGUGACUUUAAUCCGACUGUGGUUGCGACUUCUACAAUAUUUUAUCUCUAUAAAUUGUAACUGCAGCAGUCCGAACAACAUUACUAGAGGUGGUAGCCCAUAAAUGAAUCCACAACAUUAGUCUAGGAUGUUCUUUAUUGCCCGCAGUUGUCCGUUCCGGGUGUUGAAGAGCCGCCUCGUCUAUUCCAACCCGAAUUCUGUGUCGUUUGAUGACCCAGGUAUGUAUGUGUAAUCUGCUGUCACGUACGAACGAUUGGCGUAGGUCCUGGUGAACAAUGUGCCCGUCUUGUCCGACGCCUCUUUUUUUCUCAAUCCUCGAGCCAUAAGUUUUCGCUGGUACGACUAUGUUAUCAGUGAUUGUAUUUGAUUUUAGCUUAAGAGCUGAUUUGAUGAUAAAAAAAAUUAGAGAGAUCUAUAGAGGAAGAGGAAAUUCCUUGCUAUUCAAAUUUGAAUAGUAGGAGAUUUCCUCCCCUAUAGAAUCCCUCCAAUUCUCUUCGCCAAACCAGUCCUAAGGGUUUGUAUCCAAACUAUUUUAAAUACCUUAUUUUUCCACUCUCAUAUUAUAUAGCUUCAUAAUUAGUUGAAAAUUGGGUGUACAUGAUAGCCGAGAUAACCUGAAACUAUCAGAGGGGCAAAAAUACUCGGAAAUUCUAUUUUGGAAAUUCUGUAUGUUUCAAGUAUUCAACUUCUUGCUCCUCGCGUGAGAGAAGAGAAGAAAACUAGAGAACAAGCACUACAGGACUCGUCUUCUUUGCCAAGUGCCACAGACACUAGGCAAAGCCUCUUUUGCACUCGGCAAACGCUUUGCCUAGUGUUGCACUCGGCAAAGAGAAGUCGAUAACGAAGGAAUCGGCAAAGUGUCUUUGCCGAGUGUCAUUUCUCGGGCACUCGGCAAACACUUUGCCUAGUGCCACACGUCACUCGGUGAAGAAAAGUUUUCAUGACGGCGGAAGGCACGGUAACGGAAGCUUUGCCUAGUGCAGCACUAGGCAGAGGCGACCCCUUUGCCGAGUGCAGCACUAGGCAGAGGAGGCUCCUAUGCCGAGUGUAACACUAGGCAAAGUGUGUUUCCAGGCUACCCUCGCUUCUUACCUUGCCGAGUACUAUGGUUGUUGCACUCGGCAAAGACCCUCUUUGCCGAGUGCAACACUAGGCAAAAUGACCAGAGCCACCCUUUUUAUUUAUUUGUAUAUAUUCCAUCAAAACAGACAGAAAAUACAUAUCAAACACCACAUACAUAUCAUCAACAUCACAUGUAAAGCAGCAACAACACAAAUAAGUUCACAUGUCUCAUAAAUAAGUCCACAUGUCUUACAAAUAAGUCCACAUGUCUCACAAAUAAGUUCACAAAGAUCACAAUAUAUCACCGACAAUACAUAUCUCACAAAUAAGUUCACAAACGACGCACGCAAUUAGGCUCAGUUGGUGAAACAUGAGGAUCAUUCGAUGCCGCCGAUUGAUUCUGCAAAAAUGAGAAGGCAUUACAUGUGUGAGACAAGAUAAAUAUAUAUUAUAUUUAAUGAAAACUUUCAUACUCUACUAGGUUUCAAUUAGUGCAGUGGUUUGACCCUAAGCAUGAACAUACAAACUAAAACAGUCAUACUCACAGGAGUGGAAAACUGAGAUGGAGGUGGAUUUGGAGUGAAUAGCGAAGGUGGUGGAGCUACACCCGUUGCAGACUGUAUGUAAUGAAGAAUGUCCUCCGUCCUCUGCUGCUCGGACCUCAUCCUCGCAUCCAACUCCAAACGUUGCCUCCUCUCUUCUUCAAGUUGGGCCUGCAAUAUUUCACCCACAUGUUACAAUAAUGCAUAGAAAAGAUAUAUUAUCAAUGAACGACGAAUAUAGCAUGAACAACCUGGAGUUCCCUCCUCUCUUCUACCAGUUGGUUCUGCAAUAUUUCACUCAAAUGUUAAAAUAAUGCAUAGAAAAGAAAUAUUUCAAUGAACGAUGAAUAUAGCAUGAACAACCUGGAGUGCUUGUAUCCGAUGCUGUGAAGUGUCCUGCCGAGGUUGUAUGGCUGGGCUCGCGCUCGUGCUACUUGCUCGAAUCUGAGAUAGAGAGGGAGUAGCGGCUGAGUCGAUUGCACCGUCGCAAAUCCAGUAGCGUCCAUGCUUCUUGCCUCCUCCAACCCUCAUGACAACUUCUGCGUCAAGCUCCUCGGUGCUCGGAUCGUAUUCAGACCCAUGGACCUCCCUUGCCAUCGAUGUGUACUCACUGAGGCGACUGUGGAUGGUUCCAUUGUUGUACACCUCCGGCCCAUCCUCUGGGUUAUAGUUGACGUCGGACGUCGCCUUGGCCUUGUGGGACAUAGCAAAUGCCUUGAAGAUGGAACAAGUCUGUCCACCAUGUGACACCGACUACGAGAAAACCAGCGAGAUGAUUAGAAAUUAUGCAUAAUUGAGUGUUUCAAUAAAUAAAUGAAUUCACAUACCCAUGCUUGUGCGUAUCCGUUGAGGCUGCGACUGCCUUGAUGGUGUGGUACACCUGGCAUCAUCAAACGUCGAUCCCGACAAGUGUUGUGCACCUCCUCCCACUCGUCUGAGCACCAUUGGUCCACCAUUCGUUCCCAACACCCGGGAUGCGUGGCACACCAAUAAGGAAUCAUCUAUAGAAAAUCAAGUACAUGAUAUAUGAGAAGAUGAAAUUAAGGCUACCUAAUCUCAAAAGUAAUCGGUAUUAAUGUUUUGUAUUUACCUCCAAGUACUGGUCCCGAGUCAACUUCAUGGUUCUUGCGUCCUUUUUGGAGACCUUCUCUCUAAGGAUGGUCCCAUGGUAUUUUAUGAUGGCCUGGAUGCGCGCCUCGUAGUGCAUAUCUACGAUGAGUUUUUACAACAUCUGGUAGCCAACGCAUCUGCCCUGCCCUCAUAUCCCUCCUGACAUCUGUAGAAAUCCUAUAUAUACAAACACGAUGCAUCCAUUCAUUAUUUCAAAAAUGUCCAACAAAUGCAAUGUAUUGAGCAAUAUGGGAUAAGAAAGAUUUACCCACAACUCUUGCUUCACCCGCUCUGCCUUGUUGUUGAAUACCCUACUGACUCGAUCUUCAGCAUCGGGGGCAAUGGCGUAGUGGUCGAACGAGUAGGCUGGCACCAUCACUCCGUCGUACUCAACCAUUCCAGGGAAGUGUUCCUUGCACAGAAGACCGAGUAUGCCAUUGACUCGGCGUGUGUGAGCACCUCCACUCACCACAGUCGACCAGUUCCUGCCCAAGUGAUUAAGAAAAUUAUUAGUUUCUAUUUUGAAUUUGAACAUAUAAUAUCAAGAUUAUAUGAAGCAAGGUUUAAAAUAGCGGGCUAUAGCGGCGCUAUAGCCUGGCUAUAGCGUUUUGGGAGACCAAAAGCUACGAUAUACCAUUUUCACGCGCUAUAUCCGCUACGGGCGCUAUAGCUGAAAAUAGCGCCGCUAAAUACAAUAGCGCUAGCGCCAAAUAGCUGACGCUAUUUCUAUUUUCUAGAGUGGGCCAAAAAUAGAGCAAUACAUUGAAUUCUAGAGUGGGCCAAAUAGCUUCCUAGCUUCUAGCUGAUAACUAGCUGCUUGCCUGCUUGCGUACGUACUAGUACUACUGCUACUUGUUGUGCGGCUGUGGGUUGUUAAUUGUCAUCUGUCAAAAUCGAGCAAGGAAGGAUCAAGGAGGAAACAGGCAAUAGCAAGUUAGCGACACAAGAAGUCAAGAAUUGAAAUGAAUAUGCCCCAAUCCCAAUAGCAAGGCAAGUUCGAUAGUUCUUAUUCCUAAUUCACGUUCUUAGUUUUUUAUCCACUACUAAGUAGUGUCGUAGUGAAUAAUGUACUAAUUACUAGGAAUUUUUGGGGCUACAAAAAGUGCGAAUAAAAAAUAAUAUACAUUUUUGGACAGACAACAGAGAAGCAAUGUUGUUGCAUGUGAAAAGGUUCCAACUGAUGUGAAGGAGGAGAUGUAUGAAUUGCUCACAAGGAAAAUUGGAAAAAAGGAAAAGAAAGAAAAGGAUAGACAAAUGGCUAGAGCUAAAGUUAACUUAAAUCACUCACAGGGUGAAGCAUCAAGUGAAGAUCUCAAUUCUAUUGUUAUUAUGAACCCAAGCAGCUCUAAAGGUGGUCCUAUAGAGAGGUUCUGUAAGAGGACUCCAGAGGAAGGUAUUAUUGCAAAUAAGGAAUCCAACCUUGGCAAGAAGGUACAAACUAAGUUGUCAACUCAAAAAAGGGAAGAGAGGAGAGAAAGAGCUUGUGAGUAUAUCUGUCAAUUUUUUAUGAAGCUAGCAUUCCACACAAUGUAGUAACACUUCCAAGCUUUGCACUCAUGCUUGAAGCAGUUGGAGACUUAGGUAGAAAUUUGAAAGGACCUAGUGCAUAUGAGAUGAGUGGUCCUUUCUUACAGACUUUGGUAGUAACACUUCCAAGGCUGCUCACUUAUGACUGAUGCAUGGACAGAUAAGAAAGGAAGAGGAGUAAUGAAUCUUGUAGUUCAUAAUGCAUAUGGGGUCUGUUUCUUGAAUUCGGUAGAUUGUUCAUCUGUUAAGAAAGAUGGUCAGUACAUAUUUGAUCUUGUUGACAAAUGCAUUGAAGAGAUUGGGGAGAAAAAUGUUGUUCAAGUGGUCACUGAUAAUGCUAGCCCUAAUUGGGCAGCAGCAGCCCUAUUAAAGGCAAAAAGACCUUCAAUUUUCUGGACUGGUUGUGCUGCCCACACUAUUGAUCUAAUGCUUGAGGACAUAGGAAAGAUUAAGAAAGUAGAUGAAACAAUUGUGAAGGCAAGAUCUUUGACUACAUUCCUUUGCUACAGCCUAUUUGAAUUUGAAAAGCAUGUUAGACAACAAGAAAGAGUUAGGAAAGUUGUUUAGAUCAGAUGAACUCAAUGAAAUGGGUUACUUGAAAAAGGAUAAGGGAAAGAACACUAGCAAAAUAGUGAGGUCUGAUACAUUUUGGAAAAAUGUUGAUUGUGCUGUCAAUUUUCUUAUAUGGAUGUUUGUUGGAUGCAAAGAAUGAUAUUGCCAAAAGAUUUGACAAUGUUGAACUUCGUUUCAAAACUGUUUGGGAAAUUAUUGAUAAGAGGUGGGAUAAUAAGCUGGUUCAAGAGGUUGAAAUCCAAGACAAGAUAAUGGAUGAGCUCAACAUGUACCAGGAUGGGAUGGGAUCUUUUGGAAAAGAGAUUGCCACAAGGUAGAGGAGGAAUGAAAAUUUUAAUCCAGCUAAAUGGUGGUUGAACCAUGGAAAUAGUUCUCCAAAUCUUAGAAAGCUAGCAAUAAAAAUUUUAGGCUUAACAUGUAGCUCAUCAGCAUGUGAAAGGAAUUGGAGUGAUUUUGAAAAGGUUGACUCAAAGAUAAGGAGCAGACUUCUCCAUGAUAGGAUGAGGGACCUUGUGUUUGUCAAAUUUAACUCCAAGCUGAAGCAAAAAAAGAGAACAAAUCAAGAGACCCAAUUGAGAAGCAGGUUCCUGAUAUCCUAGAAGAUAGUGGCAAUGAGUGGAUCACUAGAGUUGCAUCAAUUGAAGCCACAAAUGCACAAGGUCAGUCAUCAAGGACAGCAAUAGAAACGGGAAAAAGGAAGAGAGAAGUUCAACCUAAAAGAAAGAAAAGGACAAGGAAGCUCAUUGAUAUUAAUGAAUGCAAUGAUGAUGAACCUGAUAUUAAAGAAAAGUUCAACAGUCCCCAAGUUUUCAUUCUUCUGAUUCGGAUAACUAUGUGUUUGAUGAAUAGAAUGCACUAGUAGUAGUUCACUUACACUAUUGCACUAAUAAUCAUUUUGUUAUGUACUGGAUGUCUGGAUCAUGGUAUUAUGUAGCUAACUUGCUACAAUGCUACCUUGGUGAACUAAUGAACUACUUGUUUGCUGUUGUAGUAAGUAGUAUUUUAGAAGUUGGAACUA